rnacentral:rRNA from 1 species
CCUACGGGCGGCAGCAGUGAGGAAUAUUGGUCAAUGGGCGCGAGCCUGAACCAGCCAAGUCGCGUGAGGGAAGACGGUCCUAUGGAUUGUAAACCUCUUUUGUCGGGGAGCAAAAGACGCCACGCGUGGCGUUCCGAGAGUACCCGAAGAAAAAGCAUCGGCUAACCCCGUGCCAGCAGCCGCGGUAAUACGGAGGAUGCGAGCGUUAUCCGGAUUUAUUGGGUUAAAAGGGUGCGCAGGCGGAAGAUCAAGUCAGCGGUAAAAUUGAGAGGCUCAACCUCUUCGAGCCGUUGAAACUGGUGUUCUUGAGUGAGUGAGAAGUAUGCGGAAUGCGUGGUGUAGCGGUGAAAUGCAUAGAUAUCACGCAGAACUCAGAUUGCGAAGGCAGCAUACCGGCGCUCAACUGACGCUCAUGCACGAAAGUGUGGGUAUCGAACAGGAUUAGAUACCCCUGUAGUC